UACGAAGGGGGCUAGCGUUGCUCGGAAUUACUGGGCGUAAAGGGCGCGUAGGCGGACAGUUUAGUCAGAGGUGAAAGCCCAGGGCUCAACCUUGGAACUGCCUUUGAUACUGGCUGUCUUGAGUUCGGGAGAGGUGAGUGGAAUGCCGAGUGUAGAGGUGAAAUUCGUAGAUAUUCGGCGGAACACCAGUGGCGAAGGCGACUCACUGGCCCGAUACUGACGCUGAGGCGCGAAAGCGUGGGGAGCAAACAGGAUUAGAUACCCUGGUAGUCCACGCUGUAAACGAUGAGUGCUAGUUGUCGGCAUGCAUGCAUGUCGGUGACGCAGCUAACGCAUUAAGCACUCCGCCUGGGGAGUACGGUCGCAAGAUUAAA
rnacentral:rRNA from 1 species